UCUCGGCCUCGGCUACAAAUCCCUGCUGGUGAACCCCGGUAGACCUAGAUCUGUUGUCGACGUCUUCCGAUGACCACAUCCCGAAGAAAUUGCUAUGAGUAACUAACAAAGGUUGGUAAUGUAAUCAAUAUUAAAUCCACCAUAUUUUAAGUCCGUGUCAGCAUGCUGGUUUGAUAUACUCAACUAGCAUGUGUGAAGUGUCUGAUGAUAGUAAAAACAGUGAACUAGUCAUUGAUGUCCUCUGUUUAUAUUACUACUUACAAAAUUAGUGGUUGUAUUGUAUAAGUAUUUUCGGUAUAGUGAACUAGUGAUUGAUGUAUUUUACUUGACUAGUAAUAUCUUGUCUAGUUAUGCUUCUCCUAUAGUGUAUCUCUUAUAUCGGUGUCACUUGAUCUCUCCUUAUGUAUAUAGAACAUGGAAAACAUAAUAUACUUUUAUGCUAGGCCAAAUAGCAAACAAGAAGCAGAAAAUCCGAGGUCUGAAUUAUGUAGGUAAUUUGUUGCUAUUACACAUGCAGAUGCUUUUUUCACUUAUUGUAUGUAUUUGAGUAUGAAUCAGAUGUCUUAGCGACAAAUACAAGAUAGAUUAUAUAUCUUGUUUGAAUUGUCCACCACCAAUCCGAGUUACAAACUGAGUUGUUGUUUGCAUUACUCUUCUACUGUGAUCAUGUACAAGUUGUUGGGAUACUGUCUAUUAUCUAAAAUAUUCCCCAUAUGAAAACACUCUGGUGCAAAAUAGGUUGUAUUCCCUUGCUGUUCUGUAGUCCCCGUAUGUCCAUAAAAUUGAAUAAUCAUGUAGUUCUUCCUAUCAAGGAUUACGAGUCGAGGAGUCGAGCCGAGUCGUUGGGGUACCUACUCAUAGACUAGUCGUGACUAGUCUAGACUAGUGCUCGACUAGUCGAUAUGUACCACAGCAGUAGCUAGUACAAAAUACUAUCGUAUAUAGUAACUAGAUAGGAGAUUUAGUAACUAAAUCGACAUUAGUUCAACACAAGUUACAUAACAUAAUAAUGCUAGAACCUAGAAGUUCAUGGCAUAGGCCUCAAAUUAUCUUGUCUAGAUGAUGAAACAAUGUCUUUGAGCUUCAGCUUCAUCCUCCACGUCUAAAUAUUGCUCCAUAACUCUAAACUUCCUUGUAUGAAGUUGUGGAUUUCAUUCUUAAUUUCCACCAACGCCUAGUCGAAUACCACGACUAGUCUAGACUAGUCCAUAACUAGUCGCUUGACCGCUCGAAUCUUCAAACUAGUCGUGCCGAACAAGCGAGUCGACAGUCAAGUUAUGAUUCAUAGACUAGUCGCACGACUAGCCUAGACUAGUCGUUACUCAUAAUCCAUGGUACCUAUCAUCUUUAAAAACGGAUAUGUGUUAUCAUGCUUUAGACAAUCAUGUUUUCAGAUUUCCACUACUUUGUUGUCAUGUGUUUCACCUUGUGUCCUAUGGAAAUCUAAGGAAUCACCAUUUUCUCUUCUGAAAUUAUGCUCGAGCUAUGUGCAUUUUUUCACACUUAUUUAUCAUAGGUAUGUUUGGAUGAGCGAAAUGUUUCUUUCAAAAGUUUUGUUGUUUGCUCUGAUGAGUUUAUUUUAUAGUCUUCUCUAAUUAUAGUAGUAUUGUUCCGCGUUUCCUCCUGUGUAUGUGUUGUGCAACAGUGAAUUGGUUUCCUUUGCACAUUUGUAGUAGUGCUCUGCAAAGACCAUGCUGAAUUGUUUUGAAUGUGGAACUGGCCUUGUAAAAGCGAUAAGCUGGAUUACUAGAUGUGGCUUUGAGUAGGAGAAAAAUGUCCAGCGAGUAGUGCUACGAAUAUAUUGGAUAGCUGCUUUGGUGUAUUCUAGUUGAGAAUUUUCCAUUGAUAUCAGCAGCAGGUAGUUUUGACAGACACACAGUGGAUUUGUUGUUGUGUGUAUACCACUUACAACUAGAAUUUUCCGUUGAAAGAAACCUUUAUUCUUGCUGAUAUAUUUUUUGCAGAAUCACUUGCUGGUGCUUAUGGUGCUGGUAAUAUACAUAACACCUCCUUGUCAUUGAUAAUCAGGAUUAACUAUGGAUAAAGCAUGAAUGUUUGCGUGUCAUUUUAGGAAAUUUUAUCUGAAUUAUAGUGGAAGAAUGUAGUGCAUGUUUGGGUGUCAUUCUGCUGCUUCAGCUACAAUUUGUAUAUUGGGCUAAUAAGUUAUCUCACUUCUCUUUUGGAAUAUGUAAAUCAAGUUUGAAUACAACAUGCUUGUAUUGCUCAGUAUUUUUUUUACAUGUAGCAGUACUUAAUGCAAUGGCAAGUUUUAUUUUGUAUUGCUGAUUUGACUUUACUAUGGACAUGAUUUAUCUUGUGAUUUGGAUUUAUCUUUGUUUCUUUAGUUUGGUUCAAGGGCUUACUUUCAAUUUGGUUUUCCUAUGAGGUGGAGUAUUGACUCAUCAGCUAUUUUAAAUAUAUAUAUGUGUGUAAAUUUGAUGUGCUUAUAUGAGUGUGACGUUGGUGAACUUGCAGGUGUAGCCGAAUGCACAAAAAUUGUGGAGCGCUGCAGGAAGUACGAAAAGUUAUGGUAGAUGGAAGAAAAGAAAUUUGAGUGUGACCGGCUUCAUCGUACUAAAAUUCCAACUCCUGUCCUAUCAUAAGAAGACCAAGAAGGAGAAAUUGUCAUUCCGCUCAUUUAGAGAUGCAUCUUCCAGGGGCUUCUCAGAGGCACGCCAGGUCGAAUAACUGGCUUCGCUCGAGGAAUAGGUGGUGGUAUGCCUGGAGCUGGAGGUGCUCCUGGUACUAUUGACCUUGACCUCAUGACAACAUUUGGUGACUCUGAGGUCAUGUCGGCUCUUCAAGACGGUAUGGGUUCCCUCAAGUAGUUCCCUUGUUAUUGUUAAUAAUGUGAUGUCCUGGAUGUUGGGUGCCCUCUUUAUAGUUCGAACUAUCCCUGGUCAUGAGCCCCGCUCCACCUGGAGCUGUUGUUGGCGUCUUGUGACGACCAUGUCCUCAAGCAAUUGCUAUGAGUAAUUGAAAAAGGUGUAGCCGAAUCCACAAAAGAUUGUGGAGCUCCACAGGAAGUACAAAAGGUUAUGGUAGACGGAAGAAGAGAAAUUUGAGCAUGACCGCUUCGUCGGCAUGUCGAGCCAAAGGUUAUUUUCGUGUCAAAAUUCCCACUCCUGUUAGGAGCAUUCUAGGUGUACCGUUUUUCAUGGCCAGAUCUGAAUUCAUGUCAUGUGCUUUCAACAACCUAAUUAUAAGAAUGCCAAGAAGAAGCAAUUGUCGAGCCGCUCAUCUAGAGACGCAUCUUCCAGGGGCUUCUCAUGAGGCACGCUGGGUGGAAUGGCUAGCUUCGUUGGAGGAAUGGGUGGUGGUAUGCCUCGGGGAAUGGGUGGUGGUAUGCCUCGGGGAAUGGGUGGUGGUAUGCCUGGAGGGGCUCCCGAUCCCGAUGUUAGCAUUUGGUGACCGUGUGGUCACAUCAGCUCUUCAAGUGGCUACAGUUUCCCUGAAAUAGUUCCUCCGCUUCCUUUAUGCAAUUCCCUUGUUAUUUUAACUAAUAUACUAUGUGCUGGCUGUUGGGUCCCACCUUUAUGCAACUUGGAUGAUAUGUUUGCUACUUGUGCCUUGUUGCUUUUUUAUGCAGCAGAAGCAUACUGCAUAUCCUUUGGGUGCUUGAACAGACGUCGAGUUGUUCGAGGAAAGGAAACCUAAAAUUGAUAUCAUGUAGGUGUGGAUGGGAUAUUUCCACUAAAUACUUGACAGCGGCAGCAAUCCCAGUGACGAAGGAGGUGUCCUUGUUAAACCGGUGGCUUGUGGAGGCGAUGGAGCAGCAGGUUGGCGUGUCGCUUGUGAAGGUGCGAAGUGGUGCUGUACGUUGGAACCGCCUGGCCGACAUGCUUUCUUCUAUGAUAUUUCUUGUAGUUGGUUAGGUCAAAUGCUGGGCUCGAGCAUCUUUUAGUUUUGCCGUUGGAUGUUUGUUUCCUAGAGACAUGAGCUAGCUUAUUGAUGUCGUGGACCUGGUGCGUUGGCUCCACUUUAGGUUUAUAAGCUACAUGUAGAUAUGUUUAUUCUGUGCUUUGGCAAGACAGACUUGUCAUGGCCCAUGAGUUGUAUUGAUACAAAAUUUUAAUUGAAAUACAAGUUCUUGACGGUGUUUCAAGUUAA